AUUGUUUGAAUGCCUCUGCCUAGAAUCGGAAUCGUCACCUUCCUAAAAAACGAUCUCUUUAACAAGGUCUAUUGAAAGGACAGUUUUGAGGACUUACAUCGCUUUCAAUGUCGAUGUCUCGAUCGUCGUCACUCAUUAUAAGUUCUUUGGUAGGUUUAAGAAA